rnacentral:rRNA from 1 species
UACGGGGGGGGCAAGCGUUGUUCGGAAUUACUGGGCGUAAAGGGCUCGUAGGCGGGCGAGCAAGUCCGGGGUGAAAUCUUUCGGCUUAACCGGAAAAGUGCCUUGGAUACUGCUCGUCUCGAGGGAGGUAGGGGCAUGUGGAACUUCCGGUGGAGCGGUGAAAUGCGUUGAUAUCGGAAGGAACGCCGGUGGCGAAAGCGACGUGCUGGAUCUCUUCUGACGCUGAGGCGCGAAAGCCAGGGGAGCGAACAGG